rnacentral:rRNA from 1 species
GAUGUGGAGCAAAACUCAAAAAAAUAAGUCUCAGUUCGGAUUGAAGGCGGAAAUUCGCCUUCAUGAAGCCGGAAUUGCUAGUAAUGGCAGGUCAGCAUACUGCCGUGAAUACGUUCCCGGGCCUUGUACACACCGCCCGUCACACCAUGAGAGUUGGGAAUACCCGAAGCCUGUGAGCUAACUUUUAGAGGCAGCAGUCGAAGGUAGAAUCAAUGAUUGGGGUGAAGUCGUAACAAGGUACC